rnacentral:lncRNA from 1 species
GCUUCUAUAUUUCAUAGGUGGGGAAAUCAUACUGAUGACUCAACCAUCCAUAGUGUUAUUUUGCUGUUUCAUGCUACCUCAGUGGAAAAUAACAAGUCUAAUUUUUACCCCCUGCACGAUAAAAAAAAUCUAUUAUUUUUAUUGAGGAACCUACCGCUGGUAGAAACUCAUUUAUUUCAGGGUAAUCUGGUUCUUAAAAUAUUAUUGAUAGCAUUUAUGUUUAACUGGAUUGCAAGAACAGAAUACACACAAGUCAUUUGGUUCCCAGUUUUAUAAUUUUGGCUUCCGUACCUUAUUUAGACAAGCUUAGGCUUCCUUUGCUUGGCUAUGACAGACAUUUUAGAAUAUCUCCGGACUCAUGAAUAUAAAUAGUUGUGCAAAAACAAAUUUUAUAAAACCAGAGCUGGUAACAAAAAUUACCUAGAGAUCAACAACUCUAAAAGAAUCUAGUGUCACAUUCCUUAGAAUGUCAGAUUAAACUAACAUGUGCCAGUCAAUAUUGCUACACUGCGACCCUUGAUGCCUCCUAAGCAAAACUAUUAAGUCCAACAUUCUCUCCUGUAAGCACUUAUCUGUAAGGAUGGCUAACAUGUCCUCUGAAGCAGAUAUUGAAACUGAUUGGACAAUAGGUAGAUACCAGACAGGGGCCUGGGGGCCGACCUCUAGAAAUAGGGGGAGAAAAUCUUAAUCUGCAACACAAUGCCGUUCUCUUGAAACCCUAUCAUUUUCACUUCCCAUGUGUCUGCUGCCUGACUGUGAAUGGAUUUGAAAAGGAAUGGUUAGUGCUGAAAAUUGGAUCAGAGCUAACAUUCUCUCAUUUUUAUCAGCAGCUGCCAAAGGUCAUCUGACAUAAUAGCUGAUGAAUUCAAGCCCAGUGGAUUUCAUUUGCAAUUUUCAAUUUACUGAGGCCUCCAAACCCCACGGUGAUAAAAGCUUCCCCUAUCGUGGCCUGUCACAAACAUCAAGAAACUGCACAAACCCACAAGAAAGAAAAAAGAGAAAGCUGUGCAUCCUCGCAGGUACAGAUAAGGAGAACAGGAAGAAAUGGUAUCAUGCGGGAAGGUAUGGAGCAGCUUGUGUGGCUGGUUCUCUAAAUGCCAAUUGAAAGGAAAAGACUAUGAAGAACAAUCAAAUAACUUCCACAGAAUAACAUCAUGUUUCUUUGGGGCUUUUGUGUGAAAAUUGCCUUCUAAUCUCUUACUUGACAAGUCCCCAAACAAAACUGUAAGCGUAAAUAUGCAAACAAAUAAAUGAAUAAAUAAUCCUUUCUUAUUUGGUCAUGGGAAAAAAGCACACUCAGUGUAUGUUGUAUUUACCAUACUUUUGAUUCACAAAAUGCAUGCUUGUAAAGGAUAUUGUAUCAAGGAAAUGUCGGUCAGCCCUAAGAAAUCAUUUAUUUUGUUACAGAGAUAUGGUAGAUCCUUUGAUUGAUUUGCAAGGGCAGUCAAAGAACUGACAGAGCAACUACUUGUAAGUGGAUCUAGAUACAGUGUAUAUAUAUCACAGAUGUAUUAGAAAAAAAAAAAAAAAAAGAAGGCCAUUUUCCCCCUUGUAGCACUAUUGGCAGUGAGCUUAGGCAGGAUCAGGGACUGAAUCCUGCUCCCAGGAAUUGUUCAAAUUGAGUAGACCAUAUGCAUGCUCCAUGGAGAAUGGCAAGUUUAAAAGCUGAGCAGUCCAUUUCCAUCCUAUCCAACUUGUCUCAU